UCAAGUGUUUCCUCCCAUUCCUCAUCUGUUAUCAUUAUGUUCACUUCCAGUUCCCAUUUUUCUUUAAUAUCUAUAUUCUUAAUCAAAUCCUGUUGUAAAGCUUUAUAUAUUUUGAAAUCAGUCCUUUUUGACAUGUCCUUUUUGUUUAACAUAAUCACUUCCUCCAUAUUAAGUUUGUCCUUGCUUGAAACUUUGCCUUAUUUUGAAAUAACUACUCUGUCUGUCUGUCCUAAAUAACAUAUUAAGCAUGAAAUUACGAAUUAUUGUGAAAUUACACGCACAGGAAGUGCUUUUAUUUUGUAGCAUUUGCUUAGUCAGCUCUCGAAGGCGAAGCUUCUCAGCAGACGGAGAAGAAGAGCGAGGGUCGGAGGUGCAUUAACCGUCGGAGGUCGCAUUAACCGUCGGAGGUCGCGCUUCUGUUCUGCAUCUGCACUUGACAGUCACUCGUUCUGCACCACUGAGCUAAAUAUGUGCAUUCCUAUGAGCUGUCAGCCACAUCGGGAAGCCUGUCUAUGAAUCUGCAGUCAGACUUCAAUGAUCCAACCCCACUCUCUGCACACAAGAUUGAUGGCAUGCUGCUGUUGACCCCCAAGAGGUUCAUACAAGUGAGACCACUGGAAUUACAUGAUGUCCACACAAGGCGUACCACUGUUCUCCAUGCCCUUCCUGUCUAUCUACGUGAGGAAACCUCUGGAUUUUUGAGGACGUGUGGUAAGUCCCAGUAUUGUAAAUUUGAACAAAUCAUUCUAUUUAUUUAUGCAUAAAUACAACACAAGGACAACGCACAUGAACAUUUUGGAAAAUGUGCCAUUGUUUCAACUACAAACCUUUGGCAAGAUGUUUAAGCCUGCCACACAAGAGAGCAAUCAGCUGAGCAAACGGCCUCGAAGGACUGUUUGCUCAGCAGAUUGCUCGCCAUGUGCGCCUGAUUUUCACUGAGUUUUCCGCCUCACGAGACGCUGAGGUGAAUAUCUGACCAGUUAGAUAUUUUCUGCCUCACAGGGGUAAAAACUCGCUGUGUGUGCACUACUGAGCUGCUGGCUGAGCUGAAAUAUUCUAGUGGCCAAUCAAAGCACUUUCUCCGCUCACAUGACCCCAAGAUGUAUUCAGAUGCAGCCCCCUGCCUUGUCUGCGUGUCUGAAAAAUAAACAAAACGGUACCUUGUGGAUCGAUGGGCCCACUGUUUCCAUUACCCUUUCGGAAGGAUUCUGGGUCUUCCAGGUGCAUCUCUUGGAGUAAAUUGGCAUAAACUCCUUGCCUGGUCCAUCUUUCCAGCUACUGUAACCAUAUUUUCCCAACCUUGAAAUGCCGGUGGCGGCGACGUUUCAUCAACAAAAAAGGAUAGGCAUUUCCUCCGUUUCCAGCUCUGUCUCUGUGUUGUUUCUUUUCUGACAUGCAGACAGGGGGCUGCCAUCUUGGGGUCAUGUGAGCGGAGAACGUGCUUUGGUUGGCCACUAGAAUAUUUCAGCUCAACCAGCAGCUCGGUAAUGCGCACACGGCGAGUUUUUACCCCUGUGAGGCGAAAAAUAUCUUAACUGGUCAGAUAUUCACCUCAGCGUCUCGUGAGGCGGAAAACUCUGUGAAAAUCAGGCGCACAUGGCGAGGUAUCUGCUGAGCAAGCGGUCAUUCAAGGCCGUUUGCUCAGCAGAUGGCCCUCAUGUGUGGCAGGCUUUAAGGCACUGAGAAAAAUCAACAAUCACUGCAAAGAAUUCAAGCAGCUUUCAUUAGCGUAACACUGGCACACACGGAAGCCAUCUCACUUUAUUCGUAAAUGAGAGCACAAAGCAACAGAAUGAACGGGAGUAGGGCUGGGCGAUAUGGCCUAAAAUCAAUAUCACCAUAUAUUGAAGAUCUCACCUCGAUAACGAUAAGUAGACGAUAACUACAGGAAUGCGUAGCAACAAUAUUUGUCCACUAGAUGGGGCUGUCUCAUGUAUUACAUUGACUAAAAUUUUACAUGACUCAAGGUGCUACAGCUUCUUAAAGGGACAUAAAUGUGGCCAACUUACACAUCUUUUCAUUUUUUUAUUAUCAAAUUUAUUGACAUGGGAAAAAUUAUCUGGAUGAGAGACAAGAACUUGGAUAACGAUAAAUCUUUGACAUGUUGCCCAGCCCUAAACAGGAGUCUAUCAGACUGCAUUUAUUGUUAUUUACACGACAAUCUACUGAAAUAAAAAUGGCCACAGUCAGAGUUUCAGUUCAGAUGUGAUUAGUGUAUGAUCUCCCUUUCAUUUUUGUAAGGAUGAUACCAAUGAGCCGGACGUCGGAUGCAGCAGUUGUCCUCCUGACAACCAUCACCGAUGAUGCCGAGAGUCCAGUUACGUACGACCCAGUGAGAAUCUGUUAUCCUAGAGGGUGAUGUGAUUGUCAACCUCUCCAGCCUUCCUGAUGCCUUCCUGGGCAUGCUCAGUUGAAGUUUCCAUCUCUGCGCGUUCAAGAUGUAAGAAAAAUAACACGAAAGAAAUGCAACAAUGAAAACUUCAAAAAGGCAUCAACAACCAAGCAAGUGGAUCCAUAAAAUGGACUGAUUUUUUAAUGGCAUUUUUAAAAAGUCUUUCAAAAUGGACAGAAUUAACGCGUCAUGUUCAGAACAGUUUGCGUUCUCAUCUUUGAUUAAUCCUGGUAAACAGGUCUGUUUUUGUUCUGUUCUAAUUCUCUCUGUUUAAUAAAUUUAAACAAAAUGA